rnacentral:rRNA from 1 species
AACGAACGCUGGCGGCAGGCUUAACACAUGCAAGUCGAGCGCCCCGCAAGGGGAGCGGCAGACGGGUGAGUAACGCGUGGGAACGUACCCUUUGCUACGGAAUAGCUCCGGGAAACUGGAAUUAAUACCGUAUGUGCCCUACGGGGGAAAGAUUUAUCGGCAAAGGAUCGGCCCGCGUUGGAUUAGCUAGUGGGUGGGGUAAUGGCCUACCAAGGCGACGAUCCAUAGCUGGUCUGAGAGGAUGGUCAGCCACAUGGGGACUGAGACACGGCCCAAGCUCCUACGGGAGGCAGCAGUGGGGAAUAUUGGACAAUGGGCGCAAGCCUGAUCCAGCCAUGCCGCGUGAGUGAUGAAGGCCUUAGGGUUGUAAAGCUCUUUCACCGGAGAAGAUAAUGACGGUAUCCGGAGAAGAAGCCCCGGCUAACUUCGUGCCAGCAGCCGCCGUAAGAC